GAUGAACGCUGGCGGCGUGCCUAAUACAUGCAAGUCGAACGCUUCACUUCGGUGAAGAGUGGCGAACGGGUGAGUAAUACAUAAGUAACCUGGCAUCUACAGGGGGAUAACUGAUGGAAACGUCAGCUAAGACCGCAUAGGUGUAGAGAUCGCAUGAACUCUAUAUGAAAAGUGCUACGGGACUGGUAGAUGAUGGACUUAUGGCGCAUUAGCUGGUUGGUAGGGUAACGGCCUACCAAGGCGACGAUGCGUAGCCGACCUGAGAGGGUGACCGGCCACACUGGGACUGAGACACGGCCCAGACUCCUACGGGAGGCAGCAGUAGGGAAUUUUCGGCAAUGGGGGAAACCCUGACCGAGCAACGCCGCGUGAAGGAAGAAGUAAUUCGUUAUGUAAACUUCUGUCAUAGAGGAAGAACGGUGGAUAUAGGGAAUGAUAUCCAAGUGAC
rnacentral:rRNA from 1 species